rnacentral:rRNA from 1 species
UACGGGGGGUGCAAGCGUUGUUCGGAAUUACUGGGCGUAAAGGGUGCGUAGGUGGCCAACUAAGUCAGACGUGAAAUCCCUCAGCUUAACUGGGGAACUGCGUCUGAGACUGGAUGGCUCGAGUGCAGGAGAGGAAUGCGGAAUUCCAGGUGUAGCGGUGAAAUGCGUAGAUAUCUGGAGGAACACCGGUGGCGAAGGCGGCAUUCUGGACUGCAACUGACACUGAACGACGAAAGCCAGGGGAGCAAACGGG